CAACUGCUAUGGGGUGAAAGCCCACAGCACAGCUCUAACCCUGUUCAAUCUUUUCUGAUAUAGGGAGCAACUGACACCUCUCUGAGACGUGUUCUACAAGUGGUACAAGGACCACGAAGAAAGAUUCGCAGUGAGAAGGAAUUCGGGAGUGGAGGAACUUUGAUCAGGGAGUAACCUCUUUCCCAGAGGCUACAACAGUAUUCCUUAGAUUAUUAUUAGCAGAUUGGCUAGAAUUUGGACACAUGUGCACGCUUAGGCCAGUCAGUGACAAAGGUGUGGCCUGCCCUGACUGACUUUGGAACCAUCAAGUUGAUUGCUCAGAGCUGAGGAAGGGGUCCCUUACCUCACUGCUACCUCACAAUACCUGAACCACAGCAGGGCCCUAUAGGAAGCCAAUAGUGGAUCACAAUGACCUGGCAACACCUAGCAAACCAAUUCAGGUGGAUGCCACCCAUUAGGUAACAGGACAAAUGUGAAUAUGUCUAUCUUGCCAAAAUAGAUGCCAACCUUGAACAGGGAGCAAAAACUCUUCUCUGGAUGCCAUGUGUGUCACAGCCCUGGGCACGUCCUGCCCCUUUUCUCACUGCUCGUCUGCCCAGAGUCGUCCUCAUCUCCUAGAUCUCUUAGAUCUUCGCACAGAUGCCACUCCCCAACAUCUUUCUUGACUCUCUCUGCUGGGACGGAGGUCUUCCUCCUCCUGGAUGUGCACAGCAAUGGAGGAAAAUCCCUGCUCAAGAAACAUAAUAUUUCCAACACCCUUGAGAACUACACACAUUUUGCAUGGAACAUGAUAAGGCAACUACCAAGACGGAAAACUUCCUGCUGACGGGUGCUUGGUGGGGGGCGGGGGGAAGUCUUGUCUACAAUAACAUACAUUCCUUGUCUCUAAAAACUUAUACUUCAAAAAAUGAAUAAAAUAAAAGCACUAGAAAGGGAAUUAAGGUUU
rnacentral:lncRNA from 1 species